AUGGGACUAAGAAAAAUACUUGAACUAAUAGGAGUUCGUGCGGAAGAUAAAAGAGAGGAGAAAUUCAGUUAUAGUAGGCCUGAGACACGAUGUGGUUGUGAUGCACGUAUGAAGAUAAGUCUUAAUAAUGGGAUUUAUUAUGUAUACGAAUUUAAGGAAGCCCACAACCAUAGUCUUGCUACUGGAAAUAUGUCGCAAUACUUAAGAUCACACAGGAAAGUAACUGAAGCUCAACUAGCCAAUGCUGAGGUCGCAAAGUCAGUGGGCAUUUCAAAUAAAGCAACUAUUGAUCUAAUGACGAAAGAGGCAUGUGGACCUGAAAACCUUGGCUUUAUAAGCACAGACAUGAAAAAUCGUUUGUACUCAAAGAGAACACUAAAAGCAAAGGUGGGUGACACUGGUGGAGUGUUAGAAUAUAUGGAGAAGAAGGUUUCAGAAGAUGUCAAGUUUUUUUAUCGAAACUACUUAGCAAACGACACACGCUGGCCGAUUUGGAGACGACACUACAUCCAAUGGUUGUGCUACAGUUUAUCCUCUGCAUGGAUGGUUUGA
rnacentral:rRNA from 1 species